CGUAGGGGGCAAGCGUUGUCCGGAAUCAUUGGGCGUAAAGCGCGUGUAGGCGGCCUUGUAAGUCCGUUCUGAAAGCCCGGGGCUCAACCCCGGGAGGCGGAUGGAUACUGCGAGGCUCGAGUCCGGAAGAGGCGAGUGGAAUUCCCGGUGUAGCGGUGAAAUGCGCAGAUAUCGGGAGGAACACCAAUGGCGAAGGCAGCUCGCUGGGACGGUACUGACGCUGAGACGCGAAAGCGUGGGGAGCAAACAGGAUUAGAUACCCUGGUAGUCCACGCCGUAAACGAUGGACACUAGGUGUGGGAGGUGUCGACUCCUUCCGUGCCGAAGCUAACGCAUUAAGUGUCCCGCCUGGGGAGUACGGCCGCAAGGCUA
rnacentral:rRNA from 1 species